UUAGGAAGGAGUUCAAGAGUACGUGAAACCGCUCAGGGGUAAACCUGCGAAACUCGAAUGAACGAACGGAGAGAUUCAUCGUCUUUUUCGGGCGUACGAGCGUCGCUUCGAUGAUGUCGCCUUCGGGCGUGCGUCACGAUCGACGUCCGUUUUACGUCCCGGGACGGCGUGCACUUCUCUCUUAGUAAUACAUCGCGACCCGUUCGAUGUCGGUCUACGCUCCGUACGGGAGUCUCUCGGUACGCUCUCGGGCGUCGCCGGGUUGACCGUUGCGUGAGCCGACCGGCCGUCGGACGGUAGAACAACGAAACGUGCACGCGCUCGCGCGCGUCCGGCCCGACGCAAGAUUAGCGGCGUCUCUUUCCCUCUGCCAGAGUGCGAGGGAGAGGGCGACGCGUCUGAUUUUGUCGCCGCCGUGCUGUCUCGGACCGUGCACGUAUCCGUCUGCGAUGAUUCAGUUUCGGGCACUCGCAGGACCCGUCUUGAAACACGGCCC
rnacentral:rRNA from 1 species